rnacentral:rRNA from 1 species
UACGAAGGGGGCUAGCGUUGCUCGGAAUGACUGGGCGUAAAGGGCGCGUAGGCGGUUUGGACAGUCAGGAAUGUGAAAUUCCUGGGCUCAACCUGGGGCUGCAUUUGAUACGUUCGGACUAGAGUGGGGAAGAGGGUCGUGGAAUUCCCAGUGUAGAGGUGAAAUUCGUAGAUAUUGGGAAGAACACCGGUGGCGAAAGGCGGCGACCUGGUCCUUGACUGACGCCUGAGGCGCGAAAGCGUGGGGAGCAAACAGGG